UGCGGAAUUUUAGAUAAUGGAGGGAACUCUGAUCUAGCGACGCUGCGUGCAGGAAGAAGGUCUUCGGAUUGUAAACUGCUGUGGUAAGGGAAAAAUGCUAUGUAGAGUGGAAAGCUACAUAGAGGGAUGGUACCUUACUAGAAAGCCCCGGCUAACUACGUGCCAGCAGCCGCGGUAAUACGUAGGGGGCGAGCGUUACCCGGAAUCACUGGGCGUAAAGGGAGCGUAGGUGGCCUAACAUGUCAACUGUGAAAACCCGGAGCUCAACUCCGGACUUGCAGUUGAAACUGGUAGGCUUGAGGACGGUAGAGGAAGACGGAACUGCCAGUGUAGGGGUAAAAUCCUUAGAUAUUGGCAGGAACGCCGGUGACGAAGGUGGUUCUCUGGGCCGGUUCUGACACUGAUGCUCGAAAGCCAGGGGAGCGAAC
rnacentral:rRNA from 1 species